rnacentral:rRNA from 1 species
AGCCAAAUCCUAGCCCAACCGCAUCUUGCCUGAAAAAACUAAAAAUUCACUCCUUUAUCAAAUUAAAACAUUUACCAAAACCCAGUAUAGGUGAUAGAAAAGAAUUCCCCGGAGCAAUAGAACCCUGUACCGUAAGGGAAAGAUGAAAUAAUAAUGAAAACCCAAGCAUAAAAUAGCAAAGAUAAAUCCUUGUACCUUUUGCAUCAUGAUUUAGCUAGAACAACCAAGCAAAACGAAUUUAAGCUUGCCCUCCCGAAACUCAAGCGAGCUACUUACAAGCAGCUAUUUAUGAGCAAACCCGUCUCUGUUGCAAAAGAGUGGGACGACUUGUUAGUAGAGGUGAAAAGCCAAUCGAGCUGAGUGAUAGCUGGUUGCCUGUGAAAUGAACCUAAGUUCUCUUUUGACUCUCUUUCCCCCCAGACCCCCAUGCUUAUAUGUGAUAAGUCAAAAGUCAUUUAAAGGGGGAACAGCCCCUUUAAACCAGAAAACAAUCUCCUCUAGUGGAUAAUCCUCUAACCUACAUUCACUGUGGGCCCUCAAGCAGCCACCAACAAAGAGUGCGUCAAAGCUCAACCUAAAAACCCCAAAACAAUGUGAAUCCCUUCCCACUAACAGGCCAACCUAUGUUAAUAGAAGAAUUUAUGCUAAAAUAAGUAACUCGGGCCCUCCCCUCUCAGGCGCAAGCUUACAUCACCAUAUUAUUACCAGACCAUAGCUAAUACUACAACUCCAACAAGACCAAAUAUUAAAUGCUCUGUUAACCCAACCCAGGUGCGCCAAAUUAGAAAGAUUAAAAUCUGCAAAAGGAACUAGGCAAACCCAAGAUCCGACUGUUUACCAAAAACAUAGCCUCUAGCCCACCAAGUAUUAGAGGUGAUGCCUGCCCAGUGACGAAACGUUUAACGGCCGCGGUAUCCUAACCGUGCAAAGGUAGCACAAUCAAUUGUCUCAUAAAUCGGGACCUGUAUGAAUGGCUAAACGAGAUCUUAACUGUCUCUUGCAGAUAAUCAGUGAAAUUGAUCCCCCUGUGCAAAAGCAGGAAUAAGCCCAUAAGACGAGAAGACCCUGUGGAACUUAAAAAUCACCGACCACUAUAAACAAAACUCACGCCUACCUAUAGGCUUAUUCUCCUAAAUACUGGUCCACAUUUUUUGGUUGGGGCGACCUUGGAGAAAACAAAACCUCCAAAAAUAAGACUUCACCUCUUAACUAAGAGCAACCACUCAACGUACUAACAGUAACCAGACCCAGUACAACUGAGCAAUGGACCAAGCUACCCCAGGGAUAACAGCGCAAUCCCCUCCAAGAGCCCAUAUCGACGAGGAGGUUUACGACCUCGAUGUUGGAUCAGGACAUCCUAAUGGUGCAGCCGCUAUUAAGGGUUCGUUUGUUCAACGAUUAACAGUCCUACGUGAUCUGAGUUCAGACCGGAGUAAUCCAGGUCGGUUUCUAUCUAUGAUAUACUUUCUCUAGUACGAAAGGAUCGAGAAAGUGAGGCCAAUCCUCCAGGAAUGCCUUACCCCUAAGUAAUGAAAACAACUAAACUACUACAAGGGAUACAACCAAACUAAACUCCUAAAAAAGGACCG